rnacentral:misc_RNA from 1 species
GAUGAAGAACGCAUUGAAAUGCGAUAAGUAAUGUGAAUUGCAGAAUUCAGUGAAUCAUCGAAUCUUUGAACGCACAUUGCGCCCGCCAGUAUUCUGGCGGGCAUGCCUGUUCGAGCGUCAUUUCAACCAUCAAGCCCCAGGCUUGUGUUGGGGACCUGCGGCUGCCGCAGGCCCUGAAAACCAGUGGCGGGCUCGCUGUCACACCGGGCGUAGUAGAUUUUAUCUCGCUCUGGGCGUGCUGCGGGUUCCGGCCGUUAAAAAACCCUUUUAACCCAAGGUUGACCUCGGAUCAGGUAGGAAUACCCGCUGAACUUAAGCAUAUCAAUAAGCGGAGGA